rnacentral:rRNA from 1 species
UGCGUAGGCGGGCUAAUAAGUCAGUGGUGAAAUCUUCCGGCUCAACCGGGAACCUGCCAUUGAUACUGUUAGUCUUGAGUUCGGCUGAGGUAGGCGGAAUGUGUAAUGUAGCGGUGAAAUGCUUAGAUAUUACACAGAACACCAAUUGCGUAGGCAGCUUACUAGACCGACACUGACGCUGAGGCACGAAAGCGUGGGGAGCGAACAGGAUUAGAUACCCGAGUAGUCC